rnacentral:lncRNA from 1 species
ACAACAGAUCCACAACCAUCUGGAGUUUCAGUGAUACCAAUAGCAAAUGUUAGGAGUACAGAACCACCAAUCAAGCCUGUAACUAGUCCGAUGGAGCCUGAGAAAGGAGUCCAGAUAUGCAUGCAACAACCAACACCAGCUGAUGAUCCAAAAUCUGUUACAAAGGAAGGUCCAAAAUUAGAACCACCUAAACAGUGGACUAGUCUCUUCCAGAAUAACAGACUUGCUGCAAAUGGUAUGUCCUUA